rnacentral:ncRNA from 2 species
AAGGUGCGGCGCGUUUCAGGUGCCCGAAGGCGGUCCUCGCCCCAGGGUUAAACGGGAAACAGGUGCGCGCCUCCGGCGCAAUGCCUGUGCUGCCCCCGCAACGGUAAGCGAGUGCAAGGCGCAUCAACAGCCACUGGGUCGUCCCCGGGAAGGCGAUGCGUCGGAGCCGGCCACAGCCGCUCCAGCCCGCGAGCCCGGAUACCGGCCCGAGCGCGAACUGGCGG